rnacentral:rRNA from 1 species
AUUGAACGCUGGCGGAAUGCUUUACACAUGCAAGUCGAGCGGCAGCACGGGGGCAACCCUGGUGGCGAGCGGCGAACGGGUGAGUAAUACAUCGGAACAUGCCCAGUCGUGGGGGAUAACACUUCGAAAGAGGUGCUAAUACCGCAUACGUCCUGAGGGGGAAAGCGGGGGAUCGCAAGACCUCGCGCGAUUGGAGUGGCCGAUGUCAGAUUAGCUAGUUGGUGGGGUAAAGGCCUACCAAGGCAACGAUCUGUAGCUGGUCUGAGAGGAUGAUCAGCCACACUGGGACUGAGACACGGCCCAGACUCCUACGGGAGGCAGCAGUGGGGAAUUUUGGACAAUGGGGGCAACCCUGAUCCAGCCAUUCCGCGUGAGUGAAGAAGGCCUUCGGGUUGUAAAGCUCUUUCGGCAGGAACGAAACGGUGAGCUCUAACAUAGCUUGCUAAUGACGGUACCUGAAGAAGAAGCACCGGCUAACUACGUG